UGCCCCCGCGCGGGGUGUGAAGCCCCGGCCCCUCCUCCGCAGCCCCGGGCUCGCCCGCCCUGCUCGGGAGUGUGGUCCCUGCCGGGAGCCGCCGCGCCUGGCGCACAGAGGGAAGCGUUGAUGCAUCGCUGUGGAAAUUCAUUGUGUGACUUUCUGGGUAUUUACUGAGUUUCAGACCGAGAUGCAGCUCUUGAAAGCUUUAUGGGCACUAGCAGGAGCAGCGAUCUGCUGUUUUCUUAUAUUUGUCAUCCACUCACAGUUUCUUAAAGAAGGUCAACUGGCUGCAGGUACAUGUGAGAUUGUUACUUUGGACAGAGAUAGCAGUCAGCCCCGAAGGACUAUAGCCCGACAAACAGCCCGCUGUGCAUGUAAAAAAGGACAGAUUGCCGGUACAACAAGAGCAAGGCCAGCAUGUGUUGAUGCACGAAUUAUCAAAACAAAACAGUGGUGUGAAAUGCUUCCAUGUUUAGAAGGAGAAGGCUGUGAUUUGCUAAUCAAUAAAUCAGGCUGGACCUGUACACAACCAGGAGGACGGAUAAAGACAACCACGCCUGUCUGAGGACAUGUGGUUUGGAGAUCUGAUCACUAGUCCGAAAAGGAAAGGCUGUUUGCAAGAUUUCCGGGGUGUUUUUUCCUGGAAAAGGUCUCCUGACAAAUGCAGCAACACAGAAUCCUCGUAGGAGUGGUUUAGGCUCUCUGUGAGCUACUUAACUUAGUCAAGUUUCACUGCUGUUGAUCAUCAUCUGUUAUAUGUCAUCAACUCAACUGUCUGUUUCUCUGUAUCUCAUGAAUGACAGCAUAAUUCCUCUGCAUUAUGAGCUAAAGUUUGUUCCACCAUUCUAAGGAUCACUGGACUAAGGAAUAUAGAAAAAGAGAUAUGCUUGGGCAUUAGCAAUACAAAAAAGUUCAUGGUUAACGUUUCAUCUGCGUUAUACACCACUGCUGGACUUGCUGUUACCUACAUGUUUCAAUCCGAAGAGUCUGCUACAAUGAAGAGUAUCAUCCCAAUCAGCCUUAGAGAAGACUGUUUUGCCUAUGGGAGGACACUGAGGUGCAAAAGAGAAACUCUUCUUGUGCCCUAAACUGUCUGAAUUGCUUUUAUUUUCUUAUACUUUCAGUAUUUACAAUAGACCAAAGAGCAAAAUCUAUUUUAAAGUGGACACAAUCUUACUCUUAAGAGAGUUAUGUCAUUAAAUUGAAGGUCUCCACAAAGACAUGAUUCCAGCUUUCACAAAGCUGAAAUGUUGUCCAGCAGAAGUCUUUAUGGAAAGCUGAAGUAAAAACUAACUCAGAGACCUGCUCUUGAAAUGCCAUAUUCAAGAGAACAUAACGGAGCACUGAGAGAAAAUGACCUAUGUUUGAAAAACUUGGACAAAAAGAAUACAAACUGUCUACGCAGCACCUUUAUUCCUCUGUACUUAGAUUGACUUUCUCGUACUAAAAUCAUUUUCCGUUUUAACCAGUUAAACAUGCCUCUUCUACAGUUCCAUUUUUGAUAGUUAAAGUUGGAUAAUACAGUAUUUGCAAAGAGCAUGUUUGGUCAUCUGUGGCCUAUGUCUCAUCUGAUACACCAUUUAGCACCAGAACGCAAAUUAAAGAGAAAACAAAAGUAACACUUGUUUGAAAGAGAUCAUUAAAUGUAUUUUGAAAAGCCUAAAGUUAUAUAUUUAACAGUUUUUAUAUGUUGUAUAUUUGUAGAAAAUCCUAUUUAACAAUUAACGUGAUAACUCUGACAGUCAUGAAAAGUGGUUCAGAGUUAAGUUGUGUUUUAUUACUUCAGUUGUCUCUGAAGUGACCGGUGUCGUUUGCUUUCUUCCAUUGGGACAUUCUGGAUGUAAAGCAUGACCAGAGAGGACUGUGUAGAAAAAGCAAAGAAUAAUGUUGUUUAUAUUACAUAAAUGCAUUCAACCAUUGCACUGUUGGAAGGCUUUUUUUUUUUUUUUUUUUUGGUCUUUAUGUACUGAUAAAAAUAGAGUGUAAAAUAUUUUACUCAUUGCUCUUCAUAGCAAGGUUUUCCUUCCUUCCUUCCUUCCUUCCUUCCUUCCUUCCUUCCUUCCUUCCUUCCUUCCUUCCUUCCUUCCUUCCUUCCUUCCUUCCUCCCUUCCUCCCUUCCUCCCUUCCUCCCUUCCUCCCUUCCUUCCUCCCCUCCUCCCUUCCUCCCUUCUUUCUCUUCCUCCCUUCCUCCUUCUCUUCCUUCUCUUCCCUACUUUUAUGUAAGGGUCAAUUUGAAGCCUAUUCCUUGAUCCCAUUUUCAGUGUUUUACCUCAUUGUUAGAAAGCCCACUUUCAGCAUUAUUGGUUAGUGAAAAUUUAGCAAAGACAGCAUAGACAAGGGAGAAAUUAUGAUAAAACAGAAACAAAACCUUGUUCCUUUUACUGUACCUUUUGGCAUAUAAGUUUAGUACAUACUGGUAUGAUACAAUCAACAAGGGAGCUUAAUUUCUUCCUAGCAAAUGUAUUAUGGUUUCAAAUAUACUACCUAAUACUCCAAUUAACUUUUAGUGUUAUGCUAGUUCUAUUCUACUAAAGAAAAAGAUAUAGAGAUUAUUCAAGUGACCAUAGAUGAAAGAUAUAAAAAUGAAAAGUUGAUUAAAGAUUUUUUUUAAAGCCCACUCAAACACUGAGGCUUAUAUAAUGCAGAGGUUGCAGGAAAAUAUGAACUAUGGAUCAUUCUGUCUUCAAGAAAAAUAAAUAUAUACAAAAUUCUUAUAUAAUCAUAGGAUUUUGACCAGUAUCAAAGUAGCAAUUAAAGCCCAGCCACUUGUAAAGUGUUAUGGACUGACUGCACUAUUAAUGACCAAUGUCAGGUUUAAAAUGUCAUGCAAUAAAUGAUGGUAAAUAGAUUUACUGUACAUGUAGACCUCAAGAGCCAGAUCCCUCACUUUACCAACUCUCUGUUUUGAUUUAUUUUAAAGGGAGCUUCGUAGCCUUAUUUAGUAAACACAGAAAAAAAUGAAAGAUGUUGCAUCAUUUUUGUUGCUUUACAGUAUUCAGUUUUGUGUUCGUUCAGCUAAAUUAUGAAAAAUAAAGAAAAUCCUUUUAUAA